rnacentral:rRNA from 1 species
GGCGAACGGGUGAGUAACACGUGGGCAACCUGCCCAAAAGAGGGGGAUAACACUUGGAAACAGGUGCUAAUACCGCAUAACCAUAGUUACCGCAUGGUAACUAUGUAAAAGGUGGCUAUACUACCGCUUUUGGAUGGGCCCGCGGCGCAUUAGCUAGUUGGUAGGGUAAAGGCUUACCAAGGCAAUGAUGCGUAGCCGAAUUGAGAGGUUGAUCGGCCACAUUGGGACUGAGACACGGCCCAAACUCCUACGGAAGGCAGCAG